rnacentral:sRNA from 1 species
UGGAUAUAGGCUUUCCCCAAUGCCUUCCA